rnacentral:rRNA from 1 species
UACGAAGGGGGCUAGCGUUGUUCGGAAUUACUGGGCGUAAAGGGCGCGUAGGCGGUGUGUCAAGUCAGGCGUGAAAGCCCCGGGCUCAACCUGGGAACCGCGCUUGAGACUGGCAGCGCUAGAGUUCGGGAGAGGAUGGUGGAAUUCCCAGUGUAGAGGUGAAAUCGUAGAUAUUGGGAAGAACACCGAUGGCGAAGGCAGCCAUCUGGACCGACACUGACGCUGAGGCGCGAAAGCGUGGGGAGCAAACAGG